UGGCUCAUGGUGUAACGGUAGCACUACAGAUUUUGGUUCUGUCUGUCGGGGUUCGAAUCCCUGUGAGCCAA
rnacentral:tRNA from 2 species